rnacentral:lncRNA from 1 species
UUGCUGAAAGUCAGUGUUAUAUUGGUGAACUGGAUUUUUUCGUAAGAGAGGAAAGGCUGAUACUCUUGAUUGUUGAUGGAAUGGGAGAUACUUUUGUGGUUGAAAUUCAGAGUUGUCUAGAAGGUUGAGUAUGCUGAAUGCAUGCGUGGUUGUGUUAAUCUGACUGUACGGAUAGAGGAUAUCUGCCAACAGUUUAAAGAAGUA